rnacentral:rRNA from 1 species
UGCGAUAAGCCCAGAUUAGGUAGUAACAACCAUUUGAGUCUGGGAUUUCUGAAUGGGGAAACCCACGUGCAUAAGCACGUAUCCUUACCUGAAUACAUAGGGUAAGGAGGCGAACCGGGGGAACUGAAACAUCUAAGUACCCCGAGGAAAAGAAAUCAACCGAGAUUCCGAAAGUAGCGGCGAGCGAAAUUGGACUAGCCCUUAAGCUUUACACGCGUUAGACGAACGGUCUGGAAAGUCCGACGAUACAGGGUGAUAGUCCCGUAGUUGACGACGUGUGUUCAGUGAAAUCGAGUAGGGCGGGACACGUGAUAUCCUGUCUGAAUAUGGGGGGACCAUCCUCCAAGGCUAAAUACUACUGACUGACCGAUAGUGAACCAGUACCGUGAGGGAAAGGCGAAAAGAACCCCUGUGAGGGGAGUGAAAUAGAACCUGAAACCGUGUACGUACAAGCAGUAGGAGCAGGCUUUGUCCUGUGACUGCGUACCUUUUGUAUAAUGGGUCAGCGACUUAUAUUCAGUGGCAAGGUUAACCAUCUAGGGGAGCCGUAGGGAAACCGAGUCUUAACUGGGCGUUCAGUCUCUGGAUAUAGACCCGAAACCAGGUGAUCUAGCCAUGGGCAGGUUGAAGGUUGAGUAACAUCAACUGGAGGACCGAACCGACUAAUGUUGAAAAAUUAGCGGAUGACUUGUGGCUAGGGGUGAAAGGCCAAUCAAACCUGGAGAUAGC